rnacentral:SRP_RNA from 1 species
GCUGGGCAUGGUGGCGCACACCUGCAGUCCCAGCUACUGAAGAGGCUGAGGUGGGAGGAUCACUUGAGCCCAGGAAUUUGAGGCUGCAGUGAGCUGAGAUCUGCCACUGCACUCCAGCCUGGGCAACAGAGUGAGAACCUGUCUCAA